GGCUGGGACCAUACCUGCUUGUCAAUGCCUGAUCUUGUCUGAUCUCAGAACCAAAGCAAGGCCGCGGCUAGUUAGUAUUUGAAUGGACUGCUGGGUGUAGUGGCUCUAGUGCAAGUUGUUGUUGUGG
rnacentral:rRNA from 1 species